GUUUCUAUUUUUUUUUUUGGUAUAAAUGUUGUAGAGCCCAAACAAAUAAAUGGGCCCAAAAUUAACCCAAUUACCCUAGCCCCAAUACAGACCCUAGCCCAAAAAAAAUCAAAUUGCUGAAACCCUAAACCGGCCUCCCCUACAUGCGCGCCGCUCCCACGCCCAACAGUCAUCCUUGCGCUCCGCAGAUCGCGCCACCCGCGCGCUUCCAUCGCCGUACUUGGCAUGAAGACCACGAGCCACGAACAGUAGAGAUAACAGGAAAUUUAGCAAGAAAUUAGAUAGUUUUGUUAUUUUGUUAUUUUUAUUUAUUUAUUUAUUUAUUUUAGUUAUUUUUAUUUUUCUCUAAUAUUCGGUUAUAAAAACCGAUUUGAAACACUUUGAAAAGGGGGGGAAUUCAGUGUAAAAAAAAUAGAGAGAAUACUGUAAAUUUGAAGAAAAACAGUGAAAUAAAAUCAAAAGAGGUGAAUCUCUUCUUAGAUUUUUUUUCUUUGUUUGUUUUAUUUAUUUUCCGAUUUUUGUAUAUUAAACAGAAAAAUAUAAAAGAGGAGAGGGGUAAUGCCUUCGAGGAUUCGCCGUCGAAACGUUCGCCUCGCUCAAAUCGGAGCUUGACGGAGCGUUGGGGAUCGGCUCGCCUGAGAAUGGCGGCAAUAGGGGGCUGGGGUUGAAAACCCUAGCAGAGAGCAUUUGUUUUUUU
rnacentral:lncRNA from 1 species